rfam:Camelus ferus unplaced genomic scaffold scaffold1390, whole genome shotgun sequence.
GAGGGUAUAGCUCAGUGAUAGAGUACAUGCCUACCAUGCAUGAGGUCCUGGGUUCAGUCCUCAGUACCUCCA